rnacentral:lncRNA from 1 species
CAACUUCCUAACAAAUUUAUAUUGUCAUUCAACAUCACUGCAAGUUUGUAUUGUACAUAAAUUUCAAACUAUCGGGUAUAUAAAAAGAAACUAGUUUUCUCCUUUGUACAUAUUUACAAGACAAUGUGUAAAUUCAUCAUAUUACAAGACUUGAGUUAUUAACAUAACCUAAAAUAGAAAAACAAGUUACCAAAUUUAAGUUACAAGAUUUGUGCAUAUGCAAAUGUGAUCUCCUUAAGUGCUCCCAAAAGACUACUUCAUAAUGGUCGUCUUCAGAUUUCAUCAUGUCCAUUACCUACGAUAGAAAACAACUAUCGCUAAGCAUAAAGCUUAGUGGCGUAUAAACUUUGGGGUUGGAGUCAUAAAAUUCUCCAAUUCCCCUUUUCUAUCAUAGUUAGCUCGAUUUAACAUAAUUUAAAAUAAGUGAACAAAUAUAUCAAACAUAUCAAAUAUCAAACUUUGAAGUGUUUCCAAAUAUCAAUAACAAUGUUCAAGAGUCGAGAAAGCGUAUACUAUCAAUCCAAGAGAGUUUACCAAAUAUCCAUUUUUCGCCCAAUAUGUACGUCAUGAAAAUAUUCCAGCAAACAAAAAGAGUAAACAUUUUAUACACAAACCUUGGUGUUUUACCACAAAAUAGUUCAAUCACAACUUGGGGACGUUCGAAUCGUCUAUGCCGUAAACAAACCAAAUCCGUCCACUUCCUCAAACACUUUCCCUUUGAUUUUUUAAGGGUUUAUAUACCUUAAAUACAUAAUCAAAUAUCUAAAUAAGUUCAGUGAUUUAACAUGUCAAACUAAGCAUGAUAUUGGUGAAAAUUACACAAAAAUGUUUGAACCAGAAAAUCUGGACAGUAUCAUUGUUUCGUGUUAUGGCUCAGUUUUAAAGAUCUAAACGGACAAACUAGACUGUAUAUUCUUCAUAAAAGAUGUAGAUCUAUGUCUUAGAGUUUCAUAAUAUUUUGAAUCACCCCCAUAUCUAUUUUUUUUACAUAAAGUUAUGCUAAAAUUACUAACAGUAGUACAUGGAGUAUUUCUAAAACUGAAAAUCUGGGCAGCACCUGCCCUGUACUUUCUGUUCCCUUUUCGGAUAAAUACCGGCAAAACUAGAUGUUAGUUCUUUCAUAAGAGUUAUAGAUCUAUGAAAUACCUUUCCAUAAAGUCCUGGAUCACUUAAAUCGGAGCUCUGUAGAAAAAGAUAUGUAGAAAACACUAAUAUCUGUCUAGUGCAAAAAUGAGUUUAGAAACUUACCACAAAAGAGAAGAGCAACUUGAUCUUCACCAAAAAAGAAUUUUGCUGGUUGAUUUAGUAGAAAUUUAUGGUGGUUUCAUGAAAUGUUCAGAGGCUAAGAAGUAGAGAGGGUAGGUGGUUUUGUUUCUUUGUCUUGCAAGAAUUAAACAAGAGAGAAGGAUACGGAAAGGCAAGUCUUCCAAAGUAAUAUCUAAACUUUGGAUAAG